rnacentral:rRNA from 1 species
CCUACGGGAGGCAGCAGUGAGGAAUAUUGGUCAAUGGGCGAGAGCCUGAACCAGCCAAGUAGCGUGAAGGAUGAAGGUCCUACGGAUUGUAAACUUCUUUUAUACGGGAAUAAAGUAUCCUACGUGUAGGAUUUUGUAUGUACCGUAUGAAUAAGCAUCGGCUAACUCCGUGCCAGCAGCCGCGGUAAUACGGAGGAUGCGAGCGUUAUCCGGAUUUAUUGGGUUUAAAGGGAGCGCAGACGGGAGAUUAAGUCAGUUGUGAAAGUUUGCGGCUCAACCGUAAAAUUGCAGUUGAUACUGGUUUCCUUGAGUGCAGUUGAGGCAGGCGGAAUUCGUGGUGUAGCGGUGAAAUGCUUAGAUAUCACGAAGAACCCCGAUUGCGAAGGCAGCUUGCUAAACUGUAACUGACGUUCAUGCUCGAAAGUGUGGGUAUCAAACAG